rnacentral:rRNA from 1 species
GAUGAACGCUGGCGGCGUGCCUAAUACAUGCAAGUCGAGCGAAUGGAUUAAGAGCUUGCUCUUAUGAAGUUAGCGGCGGACGGGUGAGUAACACGUGGGUAACCUGCCCAUAAGACUGGGAUAACUCCGGGAAACCGGGGCUAAUACCGGAUAACAUUUUGAACCGCAUGGUUCGAAAUUGAAAGGCGGCUUCGGCUGUCACUUAUGGCUGGACACGCGUCGCAUUAGCUAGUUGGUGAGGUAACGGCUCACCAAGGCAACGAUGCGUAGCCGACCUGAGAGGGUGAUCGGCCACACUGGGACUGCGACACGGCCCAGACUCCUACGGGAGGCAGCAGUCGGGCAUCUUCCGCAAUGGACGAAAGUCUGACGGCGCAACGCCGCGUGAGUGAUGAAGGCUUUCGGGUCGUAAACCUCUGUUGUUAGGGAAGAACAAGUGCUCCUUCCAUAAGCUGGCACCUUGACGGUACCUAACCAGAAAGCCACGGCUAACUACGUGCCAGCCGCCGCGGUAA